GGUUAUCCAUUGAGCUCUGGAUUUCUGAUGCAGUAUCUGCUCCUCAAUAUUGCUCCACCUCUCCACCUCCAUAAGCAGCAAUUUCUCCUGGUCAAUCAACCAUUUAUCCAGGAAAUUUGAUUGCAGUUGGACUUGAAUGGUUUCAAGUUUCUGCCUUGCCUCAUUUAGGUGUACUCUAUACUUAGCCAUAUAUGAAUUCAGCUCCUUUAAGUCCAGUUUUAAGGUCUUCAGUUUACUCCAUAUUCUGUGCA
rnacentral:lncRNA from 1 species